rnacentral:rRNA from 1 species
AUACGGAGGACGCGAGCGUUAUCCGGAUUCAUUGGGCUUAAAGGGUGCGCAGGCGGCCGUGCAAGUCAGCGGUGAAAGCCCGGGGCUCAACCCCGGAAGUGCCGUUGAUACUGCGUGGCUGGAAUGCGGUCGAGGCAGGGGGAGAUUCCAGUGUAGCGGUGAAAUGCGUAGAUAUUAGGAGGAACACCAGUGGCGAAGGCGGCCUGCUGGACGACAACUGACGCUGAGGCGCGAAAGCGUGGGGAGCAAACAGGAUUAGAUACCCUGGUAGUCCACGCUGUAAACGAUGAAUACUAGGUGUGGGGGGACUGACCCCCUCCGUGCCGCAGUUAACACAAUAAGUAUUCCACCUGGGGAGUACGAUCGCAAGAUUGAAACUCAAAUGAAUUGGCGGGG